ensembl:lncRNA
AAGGGGAGGAGCCAAGAUGGCAGAGGAGUAGGACGGGGAGAACACUUUCUUCCCCACAAAUUCAUCAAAAGAGCAUUUAAACGUCGAGUAAAUUCCACAAAACAACUUCUGAAUGCCAGCAGAGGACAUCAGGCACCCAGAAAAGCAAUCCAACUCUUCGAAAGGAGGUAGGAAAAAAUAUUAAAGACAAAAAAAGAGACAAAAGAGGGAGGGAUGGAGUUCCGUCCCGGGAAGGGAGUCUUAAAAAGAGAGAAGUUUCCAAACACCAGGAAACCUUCUCACUGCUGAAUCUGUGCCAAGCUUUGGAAGCACAGAGGGCAACAUAACAGGGAGAAAAAAUAAAUAAACAAUUAAAACUCGCAGAUUGCGAGCCCUACAGUAACUCCCCCAGCGGAGAACCAGCGCAGACGCCUGCAUCCGCCAUUAGCAAGCGGGGGCUGGGCAGGGAGGCGCGGCUCGGGCUGCAUCGCUGAGAGUAAGGAUCUGGCCUGAAUACCCUGAGCACUAUCUGAGCGAAAUAAUUUGGGCUAGCAAACCAGACUGUGGGAUAUCUACCACGUGAAAAGCCAGCCCUAACCUAAGACUCCGCCAGGCCCGCGCACGGAACAAAGGACUGAACAGAGAUAGCCGGCUGCAGACCUUCCCCCUCCGGUGACAGGCAGCCAGAGCUGGAAGGGGGCAAUUGCAGCCCCAGAGAGACAUUAUCUAUAAAACUGUAAGCAGGCUUCUUUGCUAACUAAAACUUAUUGGGGGUCUGGACGGUCAACAUGUGCCUGAGAAGGUGCACCGGUUUUACACCCAGAUAACUGAGUGGCGGGGAGGCGAUAAGUCGCAGCAUUGGCGCUCGCCAAACACCUCAUCACCUGAGCUGCUCGGACCUGGGAAGAGCACAAAACGCAGGCCCAACUGAGUCUGCGCCUCUGAGGACUACC